ACAGAGCAUAGUAUGUUUAAGAAUCAAUCCUGGCAAUUUUUCACUGGAUUUCCCACUUUUUUAUUCAUUUUGCAAGAAAUCUAAACCCCUCUGCAUUAGUCCUUUAUCCACAUUGCCAGUUCCUGUUUGGAUUUCUGCAAGAGUCCAAAAAGACUGAAUAUCUUGGAAAGAAGAUACACUGGGACUGAAGUUCAAAUUAGUCCAACCUGGGAAAAUCCGCUGGCUUUCUCAUGAGCGAUCCUUGGCUGUUGUCUUAAAAUUUACUCCAGCCAUUAUUGCUGGCUUUGGAAAGUAUCUACCAAGAUGGAAUGGAUCUAAGUAGUGAGGCUGGUGGAUUACUUUUGCUACUACAUUCAGAGAAGACUAUUGCCAUUCUCUCCCUACUGUUGAAACCACUUGGGUCAUUAAACAAUGCCAUCCAGGCAUCUACUACAACAGUAGUAGAUCUUUGUCCAGCAAUAGAAGCUACAUUUGGAUCAAUCAGAGAGCUAUCCAUUGAAAAAGUACUGGAAGAAGCAAAGAUUUCAGUCCAGAAGUUGACUAAUGAAGGCAUUUAUAGAGGGAUAGCUCAGUGGUUUGAGCAUUGGCCUGCUAAAGCCAGGCUGGUGAGUUCAAUCCUUGAGGGGGCCAUUUAGGGAUCUAGGGCAAAAAUUGGGGAUUGGUCCUGCUUUAAGCAGGGGGUUGGACUAGAUGAUCGGCUGAGGUCCCUUCCAACCCUGAUAUUCUAUGAUCUUAAAAUAAUCCUUAAGUGAAGAGGACAAGAAGUAUUUAAGACAACUGAAAACAUACACAGACUUGAUUCUUAAAAAUCUACAACAGCGACUUCUAGAUUCUGCUCAACCUCUACAUAGCUUUUACAGAUGCCUGUCCCAUAAAACACCAAAAGUUGAGUGGAGUGAGCCACUACCAGCAAUGGGGCUGCCGUGUGCUCAGGACAGAAUAGAGAAUUUGAACACGGUGGAAUAUCAUACAAUGAAUGAAUGAAUGAUUUGACUUCAACUUCUUUUUUAUCAUCACUAGUGGCUCGACCUGAUCUUUGUGCUAUGUCUCCUGGGAUGAAAGAAGUAGGAAUUCAUCUCUUGCUACUCCCAGAAGGAUGUAGGCAUAGUGCUUCAAACCAAGAAGGAUGUAGGCAUAGUGCUUCAUAGAAGGCUUGAGUAGCCAACUUUAAUUUGUGUGAUUUUGAAAUAUGAGUUAAAUCUAAUAAAUGGUCAUGAAACAUUUUUUCAA